rnacentral:rRNA from 1 species
CAGUAGCCGCGGGAAUACAGAGGGUGCGAGCGUUAAUCGGAUUUACUGGGCGUAAAGCGUGCGUAGGCGGCUUUUUAAGUCGGAUGUGAAAUCCCUGAGCUUAACUUAGGAAUUGCAUUCGAUACUGGGAAGCUAGAGUAUGGGAGAGGAUGGUAGAAUUCCAGGUGUAGCGGUGAAAUGCGUAGAGAUCUGGAGGAAUACCGAUGGCGAAGGCAGCCAUCUGGCCUAAUACUGACGCUGAGGUACGAAAGCAUGGGGAGCAAACAGGAUUAGAUACCCGGGUAGUCCCUGUCUCUUAUAA